rnacentral:rRNA from 1 species
UACGUAGGGUGCAAGCGUUAAUCGGAAUUACUGGGCGUAAAGCGUGCGCAGGCGGUUAUGCAAGACAGAUGGGAAAUCCCCGGGCUCAACCUGGGAACUGCAUUUGUGACUGCAUGGCUAGAGUACGGUAGAGGGGGAUGGAAUUCCGCGUGUAGCAGUGAAAUGCGUAGAUAUGCGGAGGAACACCGAUGGCGAAGGCAAUCCCCUGGGCCUGCACUGACGCUCAUGCACGAAAGCGUGGGGAGCAAACAGG